GGCCAUUGUGGUGUAGUGGUUUGAGUGUUGGGUUAGAACUGGAGGACAGGGUUCAAAUCCCUGCUUGGCCA